rnacentral:miRNA from 2 species
UGGGUCACAGAAGAGGGUCUGG